rnacentral:rRNA from 1 species
GAUGAACGCUGGCGGCGUGCUUAACACAUGCAAGUCGAACGAUGAAGCCCAGCUUGCUGGGUGGAUUAGUGGCGAACGGGUGAGUAACACGUGAGUAACCUGCCCUUAACUCUGGGAUAAGCCUGGGAAACUGGGUCUAAUACCGGAUAGGAGCGUCCACCGCAUGGUGGGUGUUGGAAAGAUUUAUCGGUUUUGGAUGGACUCGCGGCCUAUCAGCUUGUUGGUGAGGUAAUGGCUCACCAAGGCGACGACGGGUAGCCGGACUGAGAGGGUGACAGGCGACACUGAGUCCGACGGGCGGCAGAGGCUGCUAAUGGAGGCAGAAGUGGGGAAGACUGCACAAUGCGCGCCAGCUUGAUGCAGAGACGCCGCGUGAUGUAUGACGGUCUUCUGGUUGUAGAACUCCUUCAGUAGGGAACCCGCGAGUUCGAAGGUAACUGAAGAAGAAGGCACGGCUUACUACGGU